rnacentral:rRNA from 1 species
AUUGAACGCUGGCGGCAGGCCUAACACAUGCAAGUCGAACGCGUGGCGGACGGGUGAGUAAUGUCUGGGAAACUGCCCGAUGGAGGGGGAUAACUACUGGAAACGGUAGCUAAUCCCGCAUACCAUCGGAUGUGCGCAGAUGGGAUUAGCUUGUAGGUGGGGUAACGUCUCACCUAGUCGACGAUCCCUAGCUGGGCUGAGAGGAUGACCAGCCACACUGGACAUGAGACACGGUCCAGACUCCUACGGGAGGCAGCAGUGGGGAAUAUUGCACAAUGGGCGAAAGCCUGAUGCAGCCAUGCCGCGUGUAUGAAGAAGGCCUUCGGGUUGUAAAGUACUUUCAGCGGGGAGGCGUUACCCGCAGAAGAAGCACCGGCUAACUCCGUGCCAGCCGCCGCGGUAAUAC